rnacentral:lncRNA from 10 species
CAGAGUCAUUUAUUUCUUUUGAGUGAAUUUCUACCAGCAGCAUCAUGUGACUUCUAUAAAUUUACUAAUUAUUUUUCAAAUACUAUGCACAUAGGACAUUUGUGAAUAGCCCCAAGGAUUAAAAUCACCUAUUCAUAUUUUCAGCAUCAAAUGAAGGGAUUCAUAAUGAAAAGCUGUCAUUUUUUUAGAGUACACUAUAUUAUUUCAUUCACUCAAACCUCCCUUACAGACCUUGAAGACUGAUGAUGUCAAUAUUACUAGGAUUAUUGCAAGAUUGCUAAGUACAGAUGCUGGAGAUUUGGUUUUUAGUUUACAAACAAUGCUGUUGUGAACAUUCUUCUACAUGCUUCCUUGUAUACAUGGUGAAGAGUUCCUCGGAGGAACAUGCCUAGAAAUUGAAUUACUGGGUCAGAGAGUUCAAAUUUACUAGGUUAAAACAGAGAGCCCAGGAAACAGAUCUACACAUAUGGAAACCUGACUUAUGACACAAUAUGACUGAUGUUAAGAUGACAAUCCUUGGAGACUGAUUCAAAAUGGAUGACUAGAUACCUCCUCCACAGAGAGGAACAAAAAUAGGAAGCAGACAUCCAUGCUUUGAAUAGAUCAUCUAAGAGUGAAUACUGGGAUUCAACAGAGUGACAGAAAGUACCAAAAGCAAGUAAGGAGAGGGAUGCAAGGCAGCUUGCUUUACUAGGACCAGCUGGGAAAGCAGUAAGAAGCUCCCAGAUGUGAGGAAAGAGUAAGAGAGAAACCAAACUCUCAGGGCUGCACACUCCUGCCAGUGUUUUACAGUCUUAACUACAAGAGAACCCCUCAACCCAUGUGGGCCUCGAGACUAACCUAGGGAGCUGCCUAGAGACUACACGGAGACAUUGCUCCAGAGAAGAAACUUAUAUGGAGUCCCACAAGCAUCCAAGCCCACAGCAGCUGCAGCUUGGUGCCCUUCUGAGGAUCUAAGCUCUGAAGGUCUGAAUCCUACCCUGGAGCCAGGCUGACAUUGCCACUGUUGCUGCCAAGCCAAAAAGGGAGAGGAGAGGUCAGGUAUUGCCACAUACCUUAAG